UACGAAGGGGGCUAGCGUUGCUCGGAAUCACUGGGCGUAAAGGGUGCGUAGGCGGGUCUUUAAGUCAGGGGUGAAAUCCUGGAGCUCAACUCCAGAACUGCCUUUGAUACUGAAGAUCUUGAGUUCGGGAGAGGUGAGCGGAACUGCGAGUGUAGAGGUGAAAUUCGUAGAUAUUCGCAAGAACACCAGUGGCGAAGGCGGCUCACUGGCCCGAUACUGACGCUGAGGCCCGAAAGCGUGGGGAGCAAACAGG
rnacentral:rRNA from 1 species